rnacentral:ncRNA from 1 species
UUGUUUAUAUGAGAGAAACUUAACAUAUCCCCUGACAAGGAUGGAAGAGACUAUUGGGCCUUACAUCAUAUGUGAGGCAUUUCUACUUAUCUGUGGCAGCUAACUACUGUUUUU